rnacentral:sRNA from 1 species
AUUAACCAGUGGACUAAAAAGCGGAUGAUUUGUUCAAAACCAAAAAAAAA